GGGCGGAUGGCUUAGUGGUAAAGCGACUCUUUGGCAUAGAGGACGUCCGGAGUUCGAUUCUCCGUUUGUCCA
rnacentral:tRNA from 1 species